AGAAACUCAAAAACAAAACUCACAAUCAAAGGAGGAUAACUCGGCGAUUCUGGUUGUGGAAAUCAAAGGAGGAUAAGGGGAGUUAAAUAAAGGAAGUCCUCGAGUUCUAGCCGGUGUUGGGAUAACUCAAAAUCGGUAGCAAUUCUUGACGAUUCUGGUGGUGGAAAUCAAAGGAGGAGAAGGGAAGUUAAAUAGAGGAAGUCCUGACCGGAGUUUUCUU
rnacentral:lncRNA from 1 species